GCACUUUUAUCUGGGACGUCUAAGCCUCCAGUCUGUGCUAUUUUGUUAUAGCAGAUCCAACGGAGUUAGACAUACCAGUAGACACACAAGGAAACUGACUGCACCCCUGGUGAGACAGACCACCAAAAUACAAGCCCUUCAAGAAGGCUUCACUGGUGAUAUUAGCAUGGUAAGGCUCUGCAGAGACUCUUCCAAACGUUUGUGUAUGUUUUCCUGGGAGGGAAGAAAAAACAAUAUCCACAAGGCUGGAAAUGCUAAUAAAGCUGGCCACGUUAAGUGGAAUCCUUGCUAAGGAUGCAAUGUCUCUAUUUUGUGACUGCUUUAUAAGUGCAUAAUGUAGCCAACGGUUUAUCCAUGCCUGUGAUCAUAAAGUGUUAUAAAGAUUUCCUACAGUAUUAAAAUAGUAGUCUACUUACAAAGCACUUUCUGGAUAAAAGUCAAAAAGAUCACUGUUCCCUGGAUAGAAGUUCAGCUAUAUACAGACUAAAAGCCAAACAGAAAUGGCAUAAGCUUAAUUGUUUCCACCCACGAAUAUUGUAUUUGUUCAGCUGUGUCAGAGUUUAAAUGUACCAGGACAACUAUCUCGUUAAAAGGAUUCAUAGAGGGGCACCUGGGUGGCUCAGUUGGUUAAGUGUCUGACUUUGGCUUAGGUCAUGAUCUCACAGCUUGUGGGUUUGAGCCCCGCAUCAGGCUCUGUGCUGACAGCUCAGAGCCUGAAGCCUGCUUCAGAUUCUGUGUCUCCCUCUCUCUCUGCCCCUUCCCUGCUCGUGCUGUCUCAAAAAUAAAUAAAACAUUAAAAAAAAUCAAAAUGCUUAUCAUGUAUGUAAGAACUGACCAGCUCCAUAAGUAAGACAUAAGCUAAUGUUCUCUAUAUGUAAAACAAUGAUGAGGUGAAAAUUACUAAACCUAUUUUACCGAUAGGACAACUGGGACAGUAUGAAUAGAAAUCCUGGGUUUUUUUAAUGGACAUUUAUUCUUUAGAAAUAUCACCAAAAUGAUCUUAAGAAAUAUGUUAUACUACUCGUGAGGGGGGAAAAAAGCUAGAUAUUUUUUUUUCUUAGCAUACACCUGAGUAAAUUCCAGAGGGAAAUGAGGAGAUUAAGUGUAAAAAUUGAAAUUAAACACUUUAGGAAAAUAGAGUGAAUUGACUUCAGAAUAUGGUUCGAUUUUCUUUUUCUUUUUUUUUUUUUUUUUUCAACGUUUUAUUUAUUUUUGGGACAGAGAGAGACAGAGCAUGAACGGGGGAGGGGCAGAGAGAGAGGGAGACACAGAAUCGGAAACAGGAUCCAGGCUCCGAGCCAUCAGCCCAGAGCCUGACGCGGGGCUCGAACUCACAGACCGCGAGAUCGUGACCUGGCUGAAGUCGGAUGCUUAACCGACUGCGCCACCCAGGUGCCCCUGGUUCGAUUUUCUAAUAAGGGCCAUGAAGGAAAUCACAUUUGAUUACAUGCAUCUUUUAAAGACUCUUUCCAUCUAAAAAUAUCUUAGACAAAAUAAGAAAGUAAAAGACAAAUUUAAAGAAAUAUUUGCAACAUACAUGAAUGAAGAUAUGGCAUAUUAUGAAAAGAAAUCUUGGGNNCAUCUGGGUGGCUCAGUCAGUUGAACGUCUGACUCUUGAUUUCGGUUCAGGUCAUAACCUCACAGUUUGUGAGAUCGAGCCCCAUGUUGGGCUUUGCACUAUCAGCUUGAAAUUCCCUCUCUCCCUCUCUCUGCCCCUCCCCCGCUCAUGUGUGCCUACUUAAAAAUUAAACUUUAACAAAAUGGUCAAGAAUCUAUACAAUUCAUAAAAGAAGAAAUACAAGUCACAGGCAUACAUGUGAAAAUGUUGAACUGCAUUAUUAAUGCAAUGCACUUUAGAACAAACUUAGAUUGUUUUGGUAUUUGUAAAAAACAAAGAUUUUUAAAGGUGCAAAGUUGCUGUUAAUGACUAUGGAGAGGUGGUUAUACACAUCUACUCUGUAAAGCAGAAGAUGGCAGGGAAUUGGCAGUUAAGUAAGUAUUAAGAGCCUUUGAAGUACCUGCUAUCUUUUUUCUUCUGGUCUACUUGACCUGAUAUCUUUCGUGUUUACAAUUUUAAGGAGGUAUAAUUAGCAUACAAUAAACUGCACAUAUUUAAAGGACAUAAUUUGAUAUGCUUGACAUACACAUACACUCAUGAAACUAUCAUCAUUUGAGAAAAUGUCCCCCAAAUGUUUCUAUGUAAUAUCUAUUCCCUUUAUAACCUGUUAUAAUCUAUUUCUUUAUAGCCUAGUGCGCUUUUCACUUCCAUCCACAAGGAACCAUUGCUGUGCUUGCUGUCACUAUAGAUUAAUUAUAUUUUCAAGAAUUUUAUAUAAAUUACAUAAUACAUUACAUCAUCUUUUUUUUUCUUUUGGUCUCUAUUUUUUCAUUCAACAUAACGAUGGUGAGAUUUAUCCAUGUUGUUGCAUGCAUGUAACUUGUUCCUUUUAAUUGCUGAGUAGUAUUCCAUGGGGUGGGUUUACCAUCAUUUAUUUAUUGAGUCACCUGCCAACUAACAUAACAUCGUCCAUUAUAUUUUUCUAGACAUUUAUUCUAAGGAAAUAAUCAUAGACAUGUUCAAAGAUUUAUAUAUGAGGAUAUAUAUAAAGAUAAAAAUUAUUUUUAUUAUAUAUUUUAUGUAUAUAUUGUAUAUUAUAUAUUGUAUAUAUAUAUUGUAUAUUAUAGCAUUACUUAGAUUAUCAAAAAAGUAGAAGCUACCUAUCUGUCCAACAAUAAAAGAUGAAUCAAGCAAUUAUAAUCAAUCCCUCAAAGAAAGUGCAGCAUUUUAAAUCUAGAUUUUCAAAUAAUUUUUAUCAACACAAGAAAGUCUUCAUAUAUGUUAGCUUUUUUAAAAGGGCACAAAAUCUAUUAUCUGAAUUUUUAAAAAAUCAAAUCAUAUGAAGUACUAGAAGAAAGAAGGAGAGGGGUGCCUGGGUGGCUCAGUUGGUUAUGCCUUUGACUUUGGCUCAGGUCAUGACCUUACUGAUCAUGGGUUCAAACUCUGCGUCGGGCUCUGUGCUGACAGCUCAGGGCCUGGAGCCUGUUUCAGAUUCUGUGUCUCCCUUUCUCUCUGCCACUUCCCCACUCGCACUCUGUCUCUCUCUCUCUUUCUCUCUCAAAAAUAAAUAAACCUUAAAUAAAAAAUUUAGAAGAAAGCAGGAGUGAAAUCUAUUAUACUAUGUAUAUAAGGAAAGGUUUUCUAAGACUCAAAGGAAAAAAAUUUAAAAAUAUGAAAAAAAUCUUUUGAUAAAAAUAAAAUCUUUUGCCAAAAACAAUGAACAAAAUCAAAAUAUACCCGAUAAACUGGGAGAAAAUAUUUGCAACAUUUAUCACAGAUUAAGGAAUAAUGUCCCCCAAUAUAUUAAGAACUGUUUAAAAUUAAGGGAAAGAAGACCAAAAACUAGAUAGGAAAAAAGGCAAAAGAUCAUUAAUUUUAAAAAAAUCCCAAACAGCCUAAACACGUGAAAAAUAUUCAACUCCACUCGUAAUUAGGGAAAUUCAAAUUACAACUUCACUGAAAUGCCAUUUCUCACCUACCAGAUUGGCGAAAAUUAAGAAGUAUGACAACAAACUCAAUUCAAGACGCUGUGGGAAAUAGGCAAGCUCAUGCACUGCAGGUGGGAAUAGGAAACCCAUACAGUGCCUUGGAGGGGUUUCUGGCAAUAUCUAGUAACUACAUUAUCUAUUUAAAACUACCUUUUGACCUAGCAAUUCCAUUUCUAAGAAUUUAUCCUGCAGUGGCGCCUGGGUGCCUCAGUCAGUUAAGCCACAGACUCUUGGUUUCUGCUUAGGUCAUGACUUUAUACGGUUUGUGAGUUCCAGCCUCCUGUCGUGCUCUGUGCUGACAGCUCACAGCCUGCUUGGGUUUCUCUCUCUCCCUCCCUCUCUCUGCUUGCCCCCCCCCCGCCCCACUCUCUCUCUUUCUUUCUCAAAAUAAAUAAACUUAAAACAAAUUUUAAAAAUAAAGUAAAAUACACUUAAAAAUAAUUUAUCCUCCAGAUGAACUCCAGCAAAAUUAAAAUACAUAUGCACAAGGUUAGGCACUACAGCAUUGUUUAAAAUAUUAGAAACAACCCAAGUGCCUGCAUACAAGAGGGGUUGAAUAUACCAUGAUAUAUGCACACAAUAGAGCUGUAAAAAAGAAAAGAAAAGAAAAAAAAAGAAUGAAGAUCUCACAAUGGACUGAUUGCGGAGUAAUUUUCAGAAUAUGCUAUUAAAUGAAAAAGCUGUGCGCAAAGGAGUAUCUAUAUUUUACUACCUUUUGUGUAACAAAGACGUGGAGAAAUAAGAAAAUAUUCAUUUUAUCUGUUUAUUGGUGCAAAGAUAAAUAAAUAAGAAAAAUAAUUUUAAAAAUAAUAAAAAGAUUAAAAAAUCCUAUGAUUCAAUGGAAGGAUAGACCGGAAAUAAAUGAGAUUGGUUACCUUUCAGGGUAGAUGGGUGAAAUAGAGUAGAACGGAUGAGGAGAGUGACACUUUUGAGUAAGCUUUUUGUAUAGUUUUGACUUUUAGAACCAUGUUUAUUCUUCACAUACUCAAAGAGGAAAUAAAUAAGCACAUUGAUAAAUAGGUCAAUUUGGCUAUGGGAUAAAAGUUGCAAAUAGAACGUGAGCAGACAUAAAUAAUCCUAAUGCUAUUUGAAAUAAGUGAUAACCCGGGGCGCCUGGGUUGCUGAGUCCAUUAAAUGUCUGUCUGUUGAUAUCAGUUCAGGUCAUGAUCUUACAGUUCGUGAGUUUGAGCCCCACAUCUGGCUCCGCGCUGACAGCACAGGGCCUGCUUGGGAUCCUCUCUCUCUCUCUCUCUCUCUCUCUGAUCCUCCCCCACUCAUUCUCUCUCCCUCUCUCUCAAAAUAAAUAAAUGAAACAUUAAAAAUAAAAUAAAAUAAAUAACAACCCUACAAAAAGGGAGCAUAGGAAAUCAAUUAAGUAAUUUUUAAAGACAGUGAUUUGAUUUUAUACCCGCAAGCUAAAGACGAAAACUACUGACUAGUUAGGAGUCCUCGCCACCAUCCCCCUCCCCUGCCCAGAGUGGUAUAUGUUAGCAAUUCUGAAACUAUGUUAUGGAGGCUCUUAGGUUGAACAAAUAAUGGGAUCCAGGUUUUUCACCAUCAGGGAAUAAAGUUACAAAUACAUGAAGGGAGAAGGCUAGAAUGUACCCUGUAAAGUAGUAUUGGAUUUGGAGGUGUUAACAUAAACACGGUUAUUAAAUAUACAGAUUUGGAAAUGAACAUGAAUCUCAGGACCCAAACAUAUUCCUGUUUGCCAAGAUGUCUGUCAACAAUGACACCUUAGGAGCAACAAACACAUUCAGUGCCUGUAUCUGGGUUUUAAACAUCAUUCUCCACUAACAGGACCUAGAAUACUUCGCAAACUGGCUGAUUCUAGGGCUGGACCUUCUUACUGUGCAGAUAAGCGAGGACGUAGUCAAAGGAUGUUGGGCACAUGUCAAGAAGACAUGGCAGCCAGACUGAGGGGCUCCCAAUGACCAAGUCUGAGACAAUAUAAGCAUCAAAAUAAAUAAAGACUAAAAUGAGAAUCCAUGAGUACCGAUCCUGAAUAAAUAAGUGAAUUCCUUAUAGUAGAAUGUAAAUUAAUAAGUGAAGAGAGACGGAAUUAGAGAAUUAUCAACAUUUAUAAGCACCAUAAUGAUAAUCGAUUCCGGCAACAAUCGGCCAGGAUGGUAACAAUAGCAAGUAAAACAAAUGCAAGGUUAGCAGGAUAUUUACAUGGUAUUAAAAGUCAUCUCUCCACAAGACAGUUUUUAAUUACAAAGGGUAAAAUAGUACCCUUUACAGUAACAUGUUGGCAGACCCCAUCCUUAACUGGCAUAUCAAACUUGACAUCUCCAGUAAUAUGUUAACCCUGCACACGUGCCUCCGAUCUGAUGUCCUGAGAACAAACACUGUCUCACUUCUGUGGCAUUCCUGCUGAAGUAAGUAUGGAUCUAAUUAUGAAGAAACAUCGAUAAACUCCAAACUCUCUUACGAGCUAACUGGCCUGUACUCCUCAAAAAUGUCCAGGAAGAAAAUCUUGAAGAGCCAGCAAGAAAGGCUGAAGAAUUGUCCAGAUUAGACCCCAGAGAGACUAAAUUCUAUUAGUCAUGUUGGACUGGACUGCAUUUUUCCCCCUUCUGCUAAAAGAGCAAUAAGGAGGCAAUUAGUGAAAUUCAAUGGUGAAUUCUGAGGAUUAAAUAAUAUGAGAGCAUCACUGUUAAUUUUCUGAUUUUGUUAAGACUGUAUGGGUAUAUAUAAGACUGGUCUUGUUUUUAGGAAAUAUGGCAUAAGUAUUGAGAGGACAGGGGACAUCAGUUUGCAAUUUUCCAUCUGAUGGUUCAGAAAAAUGCAACACAAAAGGGGGGUGGACACAGAAGACAGAUAUAAUAAAAUGUUAAUAUCUGGCGAUUCUGGGUGAAGAGAAUAUUGGAAUUUUUAUACUACUUUUGCAAAAUUUCUGUAAGCCUGAAACCAUUUCAAAAUAAGUGGUAGAAAUAAUAAGGGGGGAAAAUAUAUCUUUCUCCUUUCCUCCCUCCCUCCCUCACCUUCUUCCCUGCCUCCCGCCUUCCUUCUCUUUCUCUCUCUCUCUCCCCACACAAACACAUAGGAACAUGUCUGAAAAAAAUGUUGUAAGAGUGUUUAUAUCUAGAUGGUUGGAUAUUACAUUUAAAAUUAAUCUUCUUGCAGAGAAAACAAGAGUGAAAAUAAACAAACGGGACUACAUCGAUCUAAAAAACUUCUGACCAGAAGAUACCAUCAACAAAAUGAAAAGACAACCUACUGAAUGGGAGAAAAUAUUCACAAAUUAUAUAUCUGAUAAGGGGUUAAUACUCCAAAAUAUAUGAAGAAUUCAUACAACUCAAUAGUGAAAAACAAGCAGACUGGUUUAAAAAUGGGCAGAGGACCUGAACAGACAUUUUCCCAAAGAAGACACAUGCCUGGCCAACACAUACACGAAAAGAUAACCAACAUCAUUCAUCAUCAGGGAAAUGCAAAUCCAAACACAGCGAGAGAUCACCUCACACCUGGUAGAAUGGCUAUUACCAAAAAGACAAGAAGGGACAAAUAGUGGCGAAGAUGUGGAGAACAGGCAACUCUUGUGCACUGUUGGUGGGAAUGUGAAUUGGUGCAGCCACUGUAAGAAAACAGUAUGGAGUUUCCUCAAAACAUGAAAAAUAGAACUGACAUAUGAUCUAGCCAUUCUACUUCUGGGUAUUUAUCCAAAGGGAAUGAAAACACUAACUCAAAAUGGUAUCUGCCUAUGUUCAUUGCAGUAUUAUUUAUAAUAGUCAAGACACAGAAGCAACCUAAGUAUCCACUGAUAGACGAGUGGAUAAAUAAAAUAUGGUGUGUGUGUAUAUGUGUGUAUGUGUAUAUAUAUGGU
rnacentral:lncRNA from 1 species